rnacentral:rRNA from 1 species
UACGGAGGGUGCAAGCGUUAUCCGGAUUCACUGGGUUUAAAGGGUGCGUAGGUGGGUUUGUAAGUCCGUGGUGAAAUCUCCAAGCUUAACUUGGAAACCGCCGUGGAUACUAUAAAUCUUGAAUGCUGUGGAGGUGAGCGGAAUAUGUCAUGUAGCGGUGAAAUGCUUAGAUAUGACAUAGAACACCAAUUGCGAAGGCAGCUCACUACACAGAUAUUGACACUGAGGCACGAAAGCGUGGGGAUCAAACAGG